rfam:Serratia sp. Leaf50 contig_2, whole genome shotgun sequence.
AUACAUCUGAUUUACCAAGACCUGCGAAUAAUUACCCUUAGUAUAACAAUACGCGGGUUACCGAUUUCCCUGGUGUUGGCGCAGUAUUCGCGCACCCCGGCCUAGGC